AGACAAAACAAAAGCCCCUUUUAGGAAAACAAAGAUUAUCUUCUCUUCAGGGUGUAACAAACGCCCACCUGCAUGAAAGGCAAUUGUGAUAUUUGGUAAGUCGUAUGCCAUCUGAACUAAAUUAGACAACGAUGCUGAAAACUCUCCAUCUCUGGAUUUCUUUCUCCAUGCUAAUUUGUAAUACAUCAAUGCUUGUAAGAAAUAAGUGUGUGUGUAUGUGCACAGACAUACACCUCCCCACAAAUUAAACCCAGCAAGUUCACAAGCAUUUGGACUGGCAGCCUUUAAAAAGACCGUGAUUUCCUGCCAACAAAACUUGGCGCCGGACACCCUUUGAGAAAGUUACCGUCCCCACCUUGAAAAAGUAAUGAUAAAACCAAAACAAAACCAUCCGCUCCCAUCCGAUUUAACUUACUAAAUCGGAAAAAAAAAAAAAAAAAAACUUUCCGAAGAUCCGCCGAGCCUGCAUUACAGGACUACCGUCUCCCACUCUUGUUCUACGUUUUUAGGCGGAGGACUUCCAGCAACAAAGACAAAAGCUCAACUUUAAUCAUCCAGGGUUGAUGUUAAGAGAAGAGAGACUCCACCUGUGUGAUUAGCCCGACGAACCUUCACCCAGUAAACAGGCACUGAUCUGGGAUCUGUAACCAGACCCUGCCCGCGUUGUCUGGGCCCUGCCGCACACCCAGCACAAAACAGUCCGGUAAAGGCCAGUCGGUAAGGGGAGAUUGACAAGCGACGACCCCAGGCGCACCCCGCGGCUGCCCGGGCCGGACCCCAUCCAGCAGCCCCCCUAACCCGGGGCCCUCUGCCGCCCACGGACGCCCACGCGCGCCCCCGCUCCACUUACCUCUCCCUCGCGCGGCCCGAAGCGCGGGUUGUAGAUGAAGAAGCUCAGCAGCGCCGGCGGAAACUGCUUCUCUUGGGCCGCUCCUGCUCCGGCCCCGGACGCCGCUGCCGCCAUCCCGGCCCGGCCCCCCAGCCUCGGGAGCCUCCCUCGGCCCGCCCAGAGACAGAUGCCGCCGGAAGACCGCACUUCCGCCUCGCUCGCCGUCCCCCCGGAAGUGGUUGCCGCCGGCCCGGAAGAAGAAUCCGCAGCCCAGCGUUCCCUUUCGGCGCACCCGGGUGGGUUCAUUCCCGUUUGUGUUCUGGGUAUUAUGAACCAGUGAAGCCUGGUUCAGCAGUCUCUAUAAGGCUCUCGCCUUCAUCUGAUGCUGAAGCUUGAAUUCUGCAGAACAGACAGGCAGGAAGGGAAGACGGAUGUAAAGAGAGUGAGGACAGGCUGGAGCCCCUGGGAAUAGACUGGAGCUUCUAUCAGUCUCUCACUGCUCCCGAAGCUGGAUUUCUUUGUCAUAGGAGGAAAUGCUUCUGGAGCUGGGACAGAACGAGAUCCCCACACCACGGAGGGGAGCCAGCAGGUAAGGUACUCCCACACCAACCUCCAGAGCAUCAGUAUCAGCUGCUUCACUGCCAACCUCCAAAUCCCAGGCAGGAUGUCUCCUGCUGCCCACCCUAACCGGAUGCCUGCAGCCUAGGCAAGAUGACAAAUUACAAACCUACCAAACAGCCCCCGCCAAGGUUUGCUACGGUGAGGUGGUGGGUAAGCAGGCAUUUGCUACAUCUCUGUAGUCUCAGAUGUAUGUUUGAAAUACCUUAUAAUUUGACGUGUGAAUCUAUUUACAUGCAUUGUAGAACCCCUAAGAAAAAUGAUGUCAAAAUCCACUCCCUUCCAAAAGAAGUUGACUUUUUGAAACCAGUUAAAACAUUGUGUAAAUGAAUAGCCUUCCAGUGAAUAAGUUAACAGGCCAGGUGGAAAUGAUCUUGGUGAUUCCAAUUUCAUCUGUCUUCUUAAGUGUUUGCAAAGUAAUACCAUACCUUAACAUUAGCAGAAGAGAUACCAGAUAGGUUUUUGCUUGAAAUUGGAUUCCCGAGUACUCAUUACACAAAAUUAAACUGUAGUCAUUGUGCAGAAUUAACUAUGUAGCUUGUAAACCUGAACAAUUCAACAAAUAUUUCACAUCUUCACUGUUUUGCUACAGUUUGUGUUUGAGCUGGAAAGAGCUGCAAAAACCUGUAUGUUAAAACAAUUGUAUAAACAUAAUGUGCAGAAGCUGAAGCAAACUGCUAACUAAUAUUAGUGUUUUAGUAAUUUUCUUUAGUCACAACAAUUAAGCACAUACACAAAGCUGCCUUUGAGAUCAUAUUCCAUUCAAUUAUAAACUACUAAAUUAUAAACUCAAAUUAUAGUUGUACAAAGCGUCAAAGCCACUGAUGCCGCCCUGUUUUAUAAGCAAUUAGGAAGAAUAAGACACCAAGUUUUUCAAAUCUGUGACCUAGUGGGCAAUGUGGGCCCUCAUUUCAAAGUCAAAAUAUCAUCAUUCUACUGCUGAGAACAUGUUUUCUUGAGGUGGGUUGUUUGUGUGAAUCCUAUGUUUGAUUUUUCAUUUUCUCUAGUUGCUAUGCUCCCCCAUCUAAAAGCCUGCAGGCUCAUCUCACUGGUCUGUACCCCUACCAGCUGCAGAGAACGGCUGCUAACAUUUUGCUCUAUGUCCUUUUGCUUUUUUCUUUCCCAUGAGGCACGUAUUGAAUAGGAUCCAUUUAAAAAUGAAUUGCUGUGUACAAUAUUUAUAUAAUGACUAAACUAGGGUAAUUUUUGAAAAUAUUUUCUUCUUUUCAAAUUAUACGUACUGCUAAAAUUUGGAAAUGCCAACGUUUCUACAAAAUUUCAACCUAGAUAAAUAACUCCAAAAAUAAAAAGUGCUAAUUCACAAA